CGUCAUCUUUGACCACGCAAGAGGCUGUUAAGGAAGGGCGGCUGCCAAAGCUUGGGGAGCUUGCAAGUCGUCGGUACUGUCCUUGUCCCUUCGUACAUGCCGCUGACGGUGAAGAAGGGCUUCUUCUCUGCUCUCCACUUGGAUUCGUAGGAAGGACAGGAGAGCGCCCACCUGCUCGGUCAUCGAGGAUGUUCUUGUCUGGCCAGCUGCGUGGGACGUGAAGUAACUGCUGGACGUGUCAGGGUCGCUUCUCCUCUGCAUGAACUGCACGAAAAGGUCUGUAGGAACUUGGAUUCGCGGCGCACUCGGAUUCAACAAGUCCGCGUGAGCCCGCAUGGCGAAUCAGCGGCACCCAAUGCCAUUGGAACGUGAGCGGAGCGUGAAUGCGAUCUACCUUCCAUUCCUUUCGGGUAAACUGACAUGAAAAAGAAGAACCAAUAUGGGCCGUUGUUGUUCCCAGGAUUGGAGAAGGGGACUGCACUUAUUGAUUCACGGAACGCGGUCACUCGAAAAGCCAAGUGGCUGAGUGGAUGCAGCAUGGGCUCACAAUGAAUGGCUCCGAGGUCACACUAAACACUGCAGGUGGCGG